UACGAGUGGUGCAAGCGUUAUUCGGAAUCAUUGGGCGUAAAGGGUGUGUAGGCGGCAUAUUAAGUCAACUGUUAAAUUCUCCGGCCUAACCGGAGGCAUGCGGUAGAUACUGAUGUGCUCGAGUGUGGAAGAGAGAGGCGGAAUUCUCGGAGUAGCGGUAAAAUGCGUAGAUCUCGAGAGGAACACCAAUGGCGAAGGCAGCCUCUUGGUCCACUACUGACGCUGAAACACGAAAGCGUGGGGAGCAAACAGG
rnacentral:rRNA from 1 species